rnacentral:rRNA from 1 species
GACGACGCUGGCGGCGUGCUUAAUACAUGCAAGUCGAGCGAGGCCUUGGAAUUGGAGUCCUUCGGGAUGAAGAGUCCUUGGCCUAGCGGCGGACGGGUGAGUAACGCGUGGGCAACCUACCCCAAAGUCCGGGAUAACAGUGGGAAACCGCUGCUAAUACCGGAUGGCUUUACCUGAGGGCAUCCUUGGGUAAAGAAAGGUUACGCUUUGGGAUGGGCCCGCGUCCCAUUAGCUAGUUGGUGAGGUAACGGCUCACCAAGGCGACGAUGGGUAGCCGGCCUGAGAGGGUGAACGGCCACACUGGGACUGAGACACGGCCCAGACUCCUACGGGAGGCAGCAGUAGGGAAUAUUGCGCAAUGGGCGGAAGCCUGACGCAGCGACGCCGCGUGAGCGAAGAAGGCCUUCGGGUCGUAAAGCUCUGUCCUUGGGGAAGAAGGCGAAAGCUUGACGGUACCCAAGAAGAAAGCCCCGGCUAACUACGUG